CUUCGCCAACAUGAUAUUUAUUGCAUUGUUGCUUUGCAUUUAUAUCGAAAAAACUCCAGUACACAAUCACUGAAAGUUCUUCGUUAACCGAACCAGACUGUAAUCCUCGAACCAAAUCAUCUUCGAUAUUCUUUGAGCUAGAUAGCUCGCGCGGCUCUGUUAGCAGAGCCUCUACUUAGCAGUAGAGUGCAGCGUGAACGGAACAUUAAGCAAAAUAGGCUUGGCGUUUAACGUGUUAAAGAAGAUUAGCUGAAGGUGAACGAACAUGGCACCUAAUAAUUUGGAGACGAAGACCGAAAUAUUCGACGAGAAAGAUCUGCGAAAGAAAAAUCAUCCCCGAGUCACUUCAGUGAGCGCAAAAAAUAAAAAAGGCGAGCAGAGUGGACGCAAGAUUUACACGAAAAUUGAAGAAUGGUUUAGCUUUAAGACCGAGCUCAAAUGGAUGAAUAUCGUGCUAUUAACUUUCCUUCACGUGGCUACAUUCUACUGUUUCUACACCGAAGAUAUUUUCGGAAACAUGAAGACAU